CAGAGAGGGAGUGAUGUUUAUAUUCAAUCUGUAAAGUAAUAAAAAAUUAAUGUUGGUUGAGUGGUUAUUGUUGCUUUUAAAACCCUAGUCUAUACCAUUACUUCUCUUUUUGUUUCUUUGCUUCACUAACCUUUUUUUUGGGGUCAAAACGCUUCACUAAUCUUGCAUAUCUUUCUAUUCUAGUAUUGACCAAUUGAGUUACCUAACACCGAUACAAAACUACAUUUGUUUAUCCAAUAAUUGAUCGAACAUAAUAGGAUAGUAAUACUAAUAUACGUAUAGUAAGUAAUUCACUGUAUUGAACGAUGCAAGACUUAUAUAUUAUUUUCUUAGUGACUCUAAAGUCUCGAAUGUAUAAUUGGUUAACACAUUGUGAUCAAUGUUUAUCUUCUGAAAGUCAGCUAUAUGGAGGCCUGAAACUUCAAACCUAAUCAAGAUGAACUGGUAAUUAAUCUUGUUGUAUACUGUGUAAUUUUGAAGUAUAUUAAUAUGAAUGCAGUAUUGCCAAACGUGACUAUAUGCGGAAAUAAAACCUACUUGUGAUUCAAAAGAUACUGGCGGCUAGUGGAUAACGUAGAAAGUUAAAGCGCUUAAAAUAGAUCUUGCGUAUGACUCAUUUGCUUUCUGAACAGUAAUGUUAAGUCAAAC
rnacentral:lncRNA from 1 species